GAAACACACACAUACAACGAGGUCCUGCCCUGACUGGUUGGCGAAAGGUGGCCAGAGGCUCACAGGAGCCUCACGCUGUACUUCCCACAGGAACAAUGGCUGAGUAUCUGCUCAUUCAGUGUUGGCCCCAACUUUACAGAUCAUAACUAGGACGAUGAGAACCGACUGCACUUGGUGGAGUCAUUGUCACGUGUGUGCCGCGAGUGAACGUCAGAGCAGAGAGCCUCGCUACCAAUGGCUUCCUUCACUGUCCUCGGACACAGAGUUCCAGGGAUCCACAUAGAUCGACGUGGCCACAUAAAGGCAAAAGCCUCACUCACGCCGUUGUGGUCUGGGUGCACUCAGUGUGGUCUGCGAUCAUCUGGCCACUGCGUAAUUGAAGAGUGUGGACUGUUCUAGCUGCACAGAGCCAGGGUCUGACGAUCUGACUCCCUGAACCGAAGCCUCUGCCUUCAGGGAGCUCCCCACCGGAAAAGUGUCAUUCACAGCUUGCAAAUCCUCAUCCUGAUUUGGGUCAUGCAUGUGUUUCUUCCUUCCUUCCAAUCUGAUUGAAAUUUUAUAAUGUUCUAGACCCUGUCCUUAACUUUAUGGUAAGAACUGAAAUAAUUAAUAAGAAUGACAAGGCCAUGCCUCUCCAAGGAGUUCACGGUCCG